UGGGGAAUUUUGGACAAUGGGCGCAAGCCUGAUCCAGCCAUGCCGCGUGCGGGAAGAAGGCCUUCGGGUUGUAAACCGCUUUUGUCAGGGAAGAAAUCUUCUGAGUUAAUACCUCGGGAGGAUGACGGUACCUGAAGAAUAAGCACCGGCUAACUACGUGCCAGCAGCCGCGGUAAUACGUAGGGUGCAAGCGUUAAUCGGAAUUACUGGGCGUAAAGCGUGCGCAGGCGGUUUUGUAAGACAGAGGUGAAAUCCCCGGGCUCAACCUGGGAACUGCCUUUGUGACUGCAAGGCUUGAGUGCGGCAGAGGGGGGAUGGAAUUCCGCGUGUAGCAGUGAAAUGCGUAGAUAUGCGGNGGAACACCGAUGGCGAAGGCAAUCCCCUGGGCCUGCACUGACGCUCAUGCACGAAAGCGUGGGGACGCAAACAGGAUUAGAUACCCUGGUAGUCCACGCCCUAAACGAUGUCAACUGGUUGUUGGGGAAGGUUCCUUCUCAGUAACGUAGCUAACGCGUGAA
rnacentral:rRNA from 1 species